rnacentral:rRNA from 1 species
UACGAAGGGGGCUAGCGUUGCUCGGAAUGACUGGGCGUAAAGGGCGCGUAGGCGGUUUGUACAGUCAGGUGUGAAAUUCCCGGGCUCAACCUGGGGGCGGCACUUGAGACGUAGGAACUGGAGUGAGGAAGAGGGUCGUGGAAUUCCCAGUGUAGAGGUGAAAUUCGUAGAUAUUGGGAAGAACACCGGUGGCGAAGGCG